rnacentral:rRNA from 1 species
AGUGAACGCUGGCGGUAGGCCUAACGCAUGCAAGUCGAACGGCAGCACAGUAAGAGCUUGCUCUUACGGGUGGCGAGUGGCGGACGGGUGAGGAAUAUAUCGGAAUCUACUUUUUCGUGGGGGAUAACGUAGGGAAACUUACGCUCAUACCGCAUACGACGUACGGGUGAAAGCAGGGGAUCUUCGGACCUUGCGCGAAUGAAUGAGCCGAUGUCGGAUUAGCUAGUUGGCGGGGUAAAGGCCCACCAAGGCGACGAUCCGUUGCUGGUCUGAGAGGCUGGUCAGCCACACUGGAACUGAGACACGGUCCAGACUCCUACGAGAGGCAGCAGUGGGGAAUAUUGGACAAUGGGCGCAAGCCUGAUCCAGCCAUACCGCGUGGGUGAAGAAGGCCUUCGGGUUGUAAAGCCCUUUUGUUGGGAAAGAAAAGCAGCAGGUUAAUACCCCGCUGUUCUGACGGUACCCAAAGAAUAAGCACCGGCUAACUUCGUG